UUUUGGGCUCUUAACACAAAAUAUCUGUAUGCAUCCGACACAUUCAUGUGGUUAUUAUUCAACCUGUGUACCAUGAAAAAGGAUGAUUAUUAGAUUAACUGGCUGAUACAAAAAAAAAGACUGAUUUGCUUUUGCAGUGAUAACAUGGUAUGGAAGCACAUCAGGCAAAGUUUAUCGAUUUUGAGUUCUCUUAUGUUGAUAAGAAUGUACCAUUCCUUAAUGUGGGGUGUUUCAGUCCAGCAGCCUGAAAUUCAAAGGAAAAGAUAAAAUGGAGUUAAUAUAUAGGUUCACUGUUCAGUAAUACUAUGACAACUGUAAAAGCAGUGCUUCGUCUUACUUGUAUUGACUUCAUCACCUCCUAAGUGGGCAAAUUUGAAUUUGAAAACCUUGCUAAAAUCUGAAAGAAAACAGAGUUAAUAAUCCAUUUAGACUGUUGACUAAUAUUUGCCAAUAGCUACUGAAUCUAGAUAAUGUACCCACUAUGUAUUAUGUGCAUUGGUCACUGGUUUCUUUUGGAACACACCCUCCGGAUAAAUGGUCUUUUGAAUAAACAAAUGAAGAACCUAACUCCACUGUUGCCAACAAAACUAGUAUGAUUCAUCACCUGAAAGAAUACCAUCAAUAACUUUGAAGGUAAAGUUGUUACUGACAUCAAGCGGUUCUCUGCAGCUAUCUGAUGGCCACAAUUCUGGGUAGCCAACACCCCUGAAAAAGUGCAACAUCUACAACUUUCAGCCAUGCUUAUUGCUAUGCAGACUAUAUAAAUUAAGUUGCAUAUUUGAACUCCAAUAAGGUAUCUUGACUCUACGCUCACUGGAUAAAAUUUGCCUUUUUGCUACAGAAGACAUCACGGAAUUGUGGACUAUAUGCAAGUCAAGGUUACAGCACUAUGCAUGCCACAAGAGAUGCUGGAAUGCGGUGAAGCACAAAAGAGAAAACUACCUUGAUGCCUUGUGAUAUAUACUCCGUGGAUACUCUGUCAGGCAAUUAUCACAAAGAAGAGAGGGGUUGCAGUAACUAGAAGUGAAGCAACC